CCGCUCAAAGGCUCCCACCCGAUUGAACUCCUAAAGGACGGAAAAAACGAAGGAAAAACCAACAAAGGGUUUGGGGAUUUUUGAUCGAAAGGAUUCUUCUUUGGCUUCAAAAUUUUCAAUUUAUGGAGCUCUGUUCUAAUGAUAAUAUGAAUAUGAGACUUGCACCGGGUAAGUUCUACCUUUCUGAAAUGUGGAUCCAUGAGGAUGGCGAACUCUGGACGGCCUGCUGUUAGGCAACCGAGUUCUAGCCUUUUUUUCAUGUCUUUUUGUUUUCCUCUCCCUCCUCUUUCUGUCUCUUUUGGAAUAAUGCUUUGCAUACGGAGGAUAGCAGCACUGCUGUAUUUAUAAAGAGGCUAUGAUGACUGCCUGUGCGAGAUGCGCCAAAAGAGUCUAGAGAGAGAUGGAGGUGAUGCAUUUCUGUUCUUGUUGUUGUAGUGGCAGGGCAAGCUUGGACGGUCUGUUACAUCGCAGGCAACCGCUUGCAGCCACCUCAUGGUUAAGGUGCAGAGGAACUUGCAAUGCCUUAUCUUUCAAUGGCAGAUCUGAGCCUUC